rnacentral:lncRNA from 1 species
GACUGGUAUAUGCAGACUGACCUCCAGGGAGAGGCCCAGAUCCGAUCUGCAGAGGUCUGCCUUCUGGCUAUCGUGAAUGUGUUCAGGUGGUGGAGAAGAAGAUGGAGCCCCAGGCUGCCUGGCUACAGAGACGCACACGGACAGCCGAGAAGAAGCUGGCUGACUGCGAGAAGGUGGCUGUGAAGUUUGGGAACCAAACUGUUGCUCAGGCUGGAGGGCAAGUGGGCCAUGUUGGGGACUCUGCUGCAGAAGUAUGGACUGCUGCAGAGGCAGCUGGAGAACUUGCUGUGCAACAGAAACUUCUGGAUCCUGCGGCUGCCCCCGGGCAGCAAGGGGGAGGUCCCCAAGGCCGGGCCACCACCAAGCCAGAUCUUCUGGCGCCAGUGGAGAAAGGACACCAGGCAGGCAGCUGCAGCCUGCCCAGUGCGGAGACGGGCCAAAGCCCGGGCCCUGGUGAGUCCUGGGGUGUGGGCAGACCUGGACCUCUCUACAUGCAUCUGGUAAGGGCAUCUGGUGUCAGGAGGCCCCCCUGGCGAAACAGAGGCAGAGAUGGGGGGAAGUGAACUGCUGGGCCUCACAGCUGGCGGUCAGGGCCACACCCGGGUAUUCUGACACCCAGAGGACCUGGGCCAUUUCCCACAUUCCAUGUCCCUUUGGAGCCGUCGCUUGGCCUGAGACCGCUCUGGAGGCUUGAGGGGAAGGGCAGAGGGCAUAGCAGAUACCAGGGAACCUGAGGCACGCUGUCGUGGUGCGUGCAGGGUCCCGGGAGGAGCAACAGGCUGGCGGCCUCCGUGAGACCUGCCCUGAUGCUGCGUCUGCUCCCAGGGCCCUUGGUGCCUGCGUGCGGGUCCUCCUCGCUUUGCAGCCUAAUUCCUGCUUCCUCUCCUUGGGUGAAGGGACUGAGUCUUGCCGUAAUAUCCCCCUCCUCCGGCACCUUACACAGUGCCUGGCAUGUACUGGGAUUAUAAAUAAUAAAUAAUUAUUAAAUGAAUGGUGAACCA